rnacentral:misc_RNA from 1 species
GAUGAAGAACGUAGCGAAAUGCGAUAAUUAAUGUGAAUUGCAGAAUUCAGUGAAUCAUCGAAUCUUUGAACGCACCUUGCGCUCCUUGGUAUUCCGAGGAGCAUGCCUGUUUGAGUGUCAUGAAAUUCUCAACCUUUUCAGCUUUCUUUGUUGAUCAGGCUUGGAUGUGGGAGUAUGCGGGCUUCUCAGAAGUCGGCUCUCCUGAAAUGCAUUAGCGGGACCUUUGUUGCCUGGCUUUGGUGUGAUAAUUAUCUACGCCAUUGUAGUCAAGCAGCUUAAAAUGAGGUUUCAGCUUCUAACCGUCUCCCCUGAGACAACUUUUUGACAAUUUGACCUCAAAUCAGGUAGGACUACCCGCUGAACUUAAGCAUAUCAAUAAGCGGAGGA